rnacentral:rRNA from 1 species
AGUGAACGCUGGCGGUAGGCCUAACACAUGCAAGUCGAACGGCAGCACAGUAAGAGCUUGCUCUUACGGGUGGCGAGUGGCGGACGGGUGAGGAAUACAUCGGAAUCUACUUUUUCGUGGGGGAUGACGUAGGGAAACUUACGCUAAUACCGCAUACGACCUACGGGUGAAAGCAGGGGAUCUUCGGACCUUGCGCGAUUGAAUGAGCCGAUGUCGGAUUAGCUAGUUGGCGGGGUAAAGGCCCACCAAGGCGACGAUCCGUAGCUGGUCUGAGAGGAUGAUCAGCCACACUGGAACUUGGACACGGUCCAGACUCCUACGGGAGGCAGCAGUGGGGAAUAUUGGACAAUGGGCGCAAGCCUGAUCCAGCCAUACCGCGUGGGUGGAGAAGGCCUUCGGGUUGUAAAGCCCUUUUGUUGGGAAAGAAAAGCAGCAGGUUAAUACCCCGCUGUUCUGACGGUACCCAAAGAAUAAGCACCGGCUAACUUCGUG